GUGUACAUUAUAAAAUCAAUAUUAAAAUGCUUUAAGAUGCUAUGUUGUGGAACACUUAUCAAACUGCUCAUAUUUCCUUGCAGGAAAAAGAAAAAAAAAGGCAUGCAACUUAAUACAGAAUGUGGACGUGAUGAGAAAGUUGGUGGGAUUCUGACAUGUGGAGCAAAAAUGAAGGUGGGGGGCAAAAUGCUUUAAGAUGCUAUAUUUCCUUGCAGGAAAAAGGAAAAAAAGUCAUGCAACUUAAUACAGAAUGUGGAUGUGAUGAGAAAGUUGGUGGGAUUCCGACAUGUGGAGCAAAAAUGAAGGUGGGGGGUUAGGGCUUAUAACCUGAAGAUUCAUGCCCAUGAUCAAGAAUAAAAUUGUGCAAUGUCUCCAAGUGUGGUUGGGUACAAUCUACCUUCCAUGCCUUGGUCUUUCAGGCCCAAAUCCAGAUGGGGAGUUAGAGUUGGAUGCUUUAUGUUAUUCUGGUCCUGUGCUGCCUUAUAAAGUAUCUGUGUCCUACCAUAUUGUCAGAGGAAUCACUUUAGGAGCUGACUGAUUAUUUAAAGUGAUAGAACUCUUCUGACAGCAGAAUCUGCUGCAUCAAUUACUUAUUUAAUCCAGACCUCUGUUCCCAACCAGAUGCCUACAGAAGUCCACAAGCAGGACCUGAAUGCAUUGCUUCAUGUCUCUGACCAUCUACAGCUCUACUCCCAAGCCAGAUUAGACAAGGAGUGUGUCCCUGUACUUUUGCCUCAAGGUCCUACUGUGAUGGCCUCAACUGUGGACAGAAGCCUUUUCUACUUCUCAAAUUCCAGAAUCCCACAUUCAACAUGGCCACUGACCAUGCUUGCUGUUGAGUUCUGGGGGAAGUAGCCCAGAAUGUAUCUUUGCCCCUUUUGAAUGUGUGACCAGCGUUAGCUACUGGAUCUUUCUCUGCUCAGGUAAUUUUCCUGAAAUCUGGUGGAAACUAGCCAAUGUAAUUGGCAGCUGAAGCACUGUGUAGAGUGCUUGUGACAAAAUGGUGUUUCAUUCCCAACAUCAAAGAUAGAAAUGAGUUUCCCUGAGGGAAAGCAAACAUGACCUUUGUGUGGAAAGCUCAUGGGGAGAGGGUGGAGGAGGAAAGAAUGACUUCAAUCAGCGAAAACAAACAGGGCUUUUACAGUCUAUGUACACAGCAGCACGGCUGUGUUCAUAAAAACUAUAUAGGAGAAAUGGGCCAAUCAGAUAAAAUGUAAUUGUCUUUGAAUGGCUCAGUUGUCACCUGUCAAAAUAAUACUGUGUGUUCGAUUGCCCAGUUUUCUUUGCAUUUUUAAAAGAAUAAAAUAAUUUUGUUAAGGAUUCCUUUUUAGAUC
rnacentral:lncRNA from 1 species